CCCUUAGAUGUUCUGGGCCGCACGCGCGCCACACUGACGAAGUCAGCGAGCAUGUCCUACGCCGACAGGCGCGGGGAAUCUUGUCAAACUUCGUCGUGAUGGGGAUUGAUUAUUGAAAUUCUUGAUCAUCAACGAGGAAUUCCUAGUAAGCGCAAGUCAGCAGCUUGCGUUGAUUACGUCCCUGCCCUUUGUACACACCGCCCGUCGCUCCUACCGAUUGGGUGUGCUGGUGAAAUGUUCGGAUCGGCCGUUUGUCGCGGUUUCCGCGUCAUGUGGCUGAGAAGUUCAUUAAACCCUCCCACCUAGAGGAAGGAGAAGUCGUAACA
rnacentral:rRNA from 1 species